rnacentral:rRNA from 1 species
UAUGGAGGGUGUAAGUGUUAAUUGGAAUUACUGGGCGUAAAGCGCGCGUAGGUGGUUUGAUAAGCGAGAUGUGAAAGUUCCGGGUUUAAUUUGGGAACGGCAUUUCGAACUGUCAGGCUAGAGUAUGGUAGAGGGUAGUGGAAUUUCCUGUGUAGCGGUGAAAUGCGUAGAUAUAGGAAGGAACAUUAGUGGCGAAGGCGGCUACCUGGACCAAUACUGACACUGAGGUGCGGAAAAGCGA